CGCGUAGGCGGUUACAUAAGUCAGAUGUGAAAUCCCCGCGCUUAACGUGGGCAUUGCAUUUGAAACUAUGUAGCUAGAGUUCUGUAGAGGGGGGUAGAAUUCCAGGUGUAGCGGUGAAAUGCGUAGAGAUCUGGAGGAAUACCGAUUGCGAAGGCAGCCCCCUGGACAGUGACUGACGCUCAGGUGCGAAAGCGUGGGGAGCAAACAGGAUUAGAUACCCGCGUA
rnacentral:rRNA from 1 species